CACGUAGGGCGCGAUCGUUGUCCGGAAUUAUUGGGCGUAAAGAGCUCGUAGGCGGCCUGUUGCGUCCGCUGUGAAAGCCCGGGGCUUAACCCCGGGUCGGCAGUGGAUACGGGCAGGCUAGAGGUAGGUAGGGGAGAAUGGAAUUCCCGGUGUAGCGGUGAAAUGCGCAGAUAUCGGGAGGAACACCGGUGGCGAAGGCGGUUCUCUGGGCCUUACCUGACGCUGAGGAGCGAAAGCGUGGGGAGCGAACAGA
rnacentral:rRNA from 1 species